rnacentral:rRNA from 1 species
AUGGUGGUUGAUGCCCUGGCCUCGAUCCUGGAUAAGGCCAAGGCCGCCGGCCACAUUCUUGGCAUCGCCCCGCACUUGGUGGAGGGAGGUGGCUUUUCCCUUCUCCAAUACGCCGAUGGCACCGUCAUCAUGGUUCAAGGCUCAGCGCCUGAGAUCUCGAACCUCAAAUUCUUCCUACUGUGUUUUCAACACCUGUCGGGCCUCAAAAUAUUUGAUAAAAGCGAGGUGAUGAUUCUGGGUUAUUCGCCCGCUGAGAGCCAGAGCAUCGCUAACCGACUUAACUGUCAGUUGGGGACAUUUCCUACUACCUACCUUGGGGUUCCCCUUAGUGACUCUCGCCUAUCCAUGCCCGACCUUCGGCCCUCAGUGCUCAAGCUUCAACACCGCAUCGAGCCGUGGCAAGGCCAAUGGCCCUCUAAGGCGGCCUGUACGAUCCUCAUCAACUCGUCCCUCUCCAGCCUCCUCCUAUUCCUCACGAGCUUCUACAGCUUCCCCGAGACUGUCCACCAUGAGAUUGGUUCGGUCCAGGCCCGGUUCUAUUAGGCGGGCGAGGGUGACAAG